rnacentral:rRNA from 1 species
GAUGAACGCUGGCGGCGUGCCUAAUACAUGCAAGUCGAGCGAACAGACGAGGAGCUUGCUCCUCUGACGUUAGCGGCGGACGGGUGAGUAACACGUGGAUAACCUACCUAUAAGACUGGGAUAACUUCGGGAAACCGGAGCUAAUACCGGAUAAUAUAUUGAACCGCAUGGUUCAAUAGUGAAAGACGGUUUUGCUGUCACUUAUCGAUGGAUCCGCGCCGCAUUAGCUAGUUGGUAAGGUAACGGCUUACCAAGGCAACGAUGCGUAGCCGACCUGAGAGGGUGAUCGGCCACACUGGAACUGAGACACGGUCCAGACUCCUACGGGAGGCAGCAGUAGGGAAUCUGCCGCAAAGGGCGAAAGCCUGACGGAGCAACGCCGCGUGAGUGAUGAAGGUCUUCGGAUCGUAAAACUCUGUUAUUAGGGAAGAACAAAUGUGUAAGUAACUAUGCACGUCUUGACGGUACCUAAUCAGAAAGCCACGGCUAACUACGUG